rnacentral:rRNA from 1 species
GACGAACGCUGGCGGCGUGCCUAAUACAUGCAAGUCGAGCGGACAGAAGGGAGCUUGCUCCCGGAUGUUAGCGGCGGACGGGUGAGUAACACGUGGGUAACCUGCCUGUAAGACUGGGAUAACUCCGGGAAACCGGAGCUAAUACCGGAUAGUUCCUUGAACCGCAUGGUUCAAGGAUGAGAGACGGUUUCGGCUGUCACUUACAGAUGGACCCGCGGCGCAUUAGCUAGUUGGUGGGGUAAUGGCUCACCAAGGCGACGAUGCGUAGCCGACCUGAGAGGGUGAUCGGCCACACUGGGACUGAGACACGGCCCAGACUCCUACGGGAGGCAGCAGUAGGGAAUCUUCCGCAAUGGACGAAAGUCUGACGGAGCAACGCCGCGUGAGUGAUGAAGGUUUUCGGAUCGUAAAGCUCUGUUGUUAGGGAAGAACAAGUGCGAGAGUAACUGCUCGCACCUUGACGGUACCUAACCAGAAAGCCACGGCUAACUACGUGCCAGCCGCCGCAGUAAUAC